AUUGCAAGGUUGCCGCCAUUUUACACUACGUUCUGGACAAAGAAAGAUGGCGUUUUGGGCUUUGUUUCAAGUAGCAAAUAGAUGUCUAUGGGAGGUAUGAAGUUGAAAAGUCAAAAGUUAGUGUAUACCUAAACAAGAAAUGAAGCUAAGAUAGUGUCAGACAUAGUACAGGUCAUGUAACAGAUGGCGUGGACAGAAUGUUGUUGUGGUGGCUUUGUUCAAGUUACAUAUUCUGACAAAGAUGGUAAAGCAGUGGCAGACAGAGUUGUGUGACAUUGUGUAUGUUUCAUUUGUUAGAGCCCAUGCACAGACAGAAGAAAAGCCAAGAAAAAGUUGAAGGUCGUCUGACGUCAUUUUCUAUAUUGUCAAAAACAUAUUGUAUGGGGAGACUGCAUAAAAAUGUGCUGGUAGUCCAAGGAUAUAGUGUUCACAGUGAAAAGGUGAGAU
rnacentral:lncRNA from 1 species